rnacentral:tRNA from 1 species
GGAAAUGUGCCUGAACGUCCAAGGGUCACUAUGAUAAAGUGAACAUAGAGGUGCACCAAUCCUCUCAUUUCCU